GAAACUCUCUCAUGCUGGCUCCCUCUUUGUCCCCCGUGAGCCUGGGAAUGGGUGUGAUCUCCGAGUAGGAGUGUCUCCGCGGAUAAGUAGAGGAUUGAAUUACGGAACGCUGCUGUUCCCGAGCCGACAAGGUAGCAGAACAGCAAACAAAAGUGCCUUGAAACUAGCUCACCAAAGGGGAGAGAACGCGCUGGGUUUGGCGGAGAAAGGAGACCUGCAAGGACACCGCGCGCUUUCCAGCAAGCUCAGACUGCAGGAUGACAGACGGUGACACCAAUCUCCCAACUAUCGAGAGAAAGCUGGGACUGCAGAUAUGGGUCAUAGAGAAUAUGAAGAUGGUUCCUGUACCUGAAAAGGCUUAUGGGACUUUUUUUGAAGGAGACUGUUACAUAGUUCUGCAUACCAAAAGAACCUCUCGCGGCUCCGCUGUGGAUUUGCAUUACUGGAUUGGCAAGGACUCAUCUCAGGAUGAGCAAGGUGCCGCAGCCAUGUAUGUCACCCAGCUGGACAACGCGCUCAGAGGGAACCCCGUGCAGCACCGGGAAGCACAGGGACACGAGUCUGAGACCUUCCAAAGCUAUUUCCGCAAUGGCAUUAUCUACAAGAAGGGAGGAGUGGCUUCAGGAUUUAGGCAUGUGGAGACUAAUAUGUACAACAUCAAGCGUCUUCUUCACGUCAAGGGGAAGAAGCACGUGUCAGCCACAGAGGUAGCGCUUUCCUGGGACAGUUUCAAUAAGGGCGAUGUUUUUUUGCUGGACCUUGGGAAAGUGCUGAUUCAGUGGAACGGACCCAACUGCAGCAUUGCUGAGAAAUCCAGGGGUCUGGCGCUGGCUCGCAGCAUCAGGGACAGCGAAAGGGGCGGCCGUGCUCAAAUCGGCAUCAUUGACAACGAGAAAGACUCCCCGGACCUCAUGCAGAUCAUGAAGAUGGUGCUGGGUGAGAGGCGCGGGGAGCUCCGAGAGGCCAUCCCAGAUGCGAAAGCAGAUGAGCUGCAGAAAGCAAAUGUCCGACUCUACCAUGUCUAUGAGAAGGACAACGACCUGGUGGUACAGGAGAUAGCUACCCGGCCCCUGACACAGGAUCUGCUCCAGCACGAGGACUGCUACAUUUUAGACCAAGGCGGUUUUAAGAUUUAUGUCUGGAGAGGAAAAGCCUCCAGCCUGGAAGAGAAAAAAGCAGCCUUCACUCGAGCCGUGGGUUUUAUCCAAGCCAAAGGUUAUCCUUCAUCCACCAACAUUGAAGUCAUGAAUGAUGGAGCAGAGUCAGCCAUGUUUAAACAGCUCUUCCAGAGGUGGACAGAAAAGGAUGAAACACAAGGACUGGGCAAAAUCUACACUACUGGCAAAAUUGCCAAGGUGGAGCAGGUGAAGUUUGACACCACUCAGCUCCAUGCCAGACCGGAGCUUGCUGCUGAGCAGAGAAUGGUAGAUGAUGCCUCCGGGGAGAUAGAGGUGUGGAGGAUUGAGAACCUGAAAAUGCAGCCAGUGAAUCCCAAGACAUAUGGGCAGUUCUACGGGGGUGAUUGCUACCUGGUCCUGUACACCUACCAGAGAUCAGGCAGGCCUCACUAUGUCCUCUACAUGUGGCAGGGACGUCAUGCCUCUGUGGAUGAAAUCACUGCCUGUGCCCUCAAUGCCAUUGAGCUGGACAAGAAGUAUGGGGAUGAGGCUGUGCAGGUUCGCGUGACAAUGGGCAAGGAGCCCACACACUUCCUGGCCAUCUUCAAGGGCAAGCUGGUCAUUUACGAGGGUGGCACGAGCCGGGGUCAGAAAACCACUCCUGAGCCAGCGAUUCGCCUCUUCCAAGUGAGGGGCACAGACGAGAUGAACACAAAGGCCACCGAGGUGCCAGCCCGGGCCUCAUCACUCAACUCCAAUGAUGUUUUCCUGCUGACGACUAGCCAAGUCUGCUACCUGUGGUGUGGGAAGGGAUGCAGUGGAGAUGAGAGGGAGAUGGCAAAAAUGGUGGCUGACAUCGUUUCCAGACGGGACAAGCACACUAUUUCAGAAGGACAAGAGCCAGCAGAGUUCUGGGAAGCCUUGGGAGGCAAAGCACCUUAUGCCAGUGAAAAGAGGUUUCAAGAGCAGGUCGCACACUACCAGCCUCGCCUCUUCGAGUGCUCCAACCAGACGGGUCGAUUCAUCAUGACAGAAGUGGUGGGCUUCUGCCAGGAAGACUUGGAUGAAGAUGAUGUCAUGCUGCUAGACACAUGGGAAGAGAUUUUCCUUUGGAUUGGCAAAGCCUCCAACACAUACGAGAAGAACGAGGCCAUUGCCUCAGCUAAGGAGUAUCUCAAGACCCAUCCAGCAGGGAGAGACUUGGCAACGCCGAUAAUUCUGGUGAAGCAGGGCUAUGAACCCCUCAACUUCACAGGAUGGUUCAACGCUUGGGACCCCUACAAAUGGAGCGAUGGCAAGUCCUAUGAGGAGAUGAAGAACAGCUUAGGAGACGUGUCGGCUAUAUCCGAGAUCAAAGUGAAUGAGGCUGCUGUAAGUAUCUUCAGUUAUUUCAUCAGUGCUGUGCUUUUAGCAAUCCUAACAUCAAGAUGCAACAUUGGUGGAGGUGCUACACUAAUGUUUUAGUUCAGACUUUCUCCUUGCCACUCUGAAGCAAAAGACCAACACAUAACCAGUGCCAGAAAGAGUCACCCCAACCCCAACAGAGAGAAAGAUCCUAGGAUAACCCCCAACUUGCUUUGCCAGAGCUUCUUGAUGUGUUUUCAUCCCUUUGGCAGGACCUUAACAACAUCAGCCUGAACAAGAGAACCCUCAGCAUGACCAGCUUGUCUGGUCCAAGUACGACAAGUGCUUCCACUGAGUAUAAAUCACACUUCAACCACAAUGUCAGCAACAGCUACAGCAAUGGCAGCAAAAACAGCAACAGCCCUUCCUUGGUGCCCAAUGGUGAAGGAAUUUACUCCCGAGAGGUGCUGAUGAACAAGACGGUGGAUGAACUUCCAGAAGGCGUGGAUCCCACUAAAAAAGAGUGCUAUCUCUCUGAUGCCGAUUUCCACGAUAUCUUUGGGAAGUCCAAGGAAGAGUUCUACCAGAUGCCCAAAUGGAAGCAGCAGAAUGAGAAGAAGCAAUGUGGACUCUUCUGAGACUGCAGGGGCCAUCUGCCAUCUGGUGACUCUGGGACCAACCCUCACUCUCUUAGGAGCUGCAGGAAAGAACCGCAGAACAGCUCAAUGAACCCAACCCAACAUCUCAAUUAGGCCAAGCUCCAAUGCAGUUAUUCCAGCAGCCACUGUUCAUGGAACGGCUCCUUUCUCCCUGAAAACCCUGAACAUAAGAAGGCACGAAAAUCCCUUCUGCAGGAAUGACUUUGCAGGGUUUUUUGCCUCUUUGACACUUUAUAGCCAUGAAGACAAGUGUGUGUGUCACACAACUGUAUUGUAGCCUCCCCUUCCUCUCCCUUUUGCAAAUUUCCACGUGCACAAGGUCAUGAUCCUCCUUUAUUUGUAGAAGUUUAAAAUUAUGCAAGACAAAGGCCACUUGCAGCUGCUGUGUAAAUUCUGGUUGGGGAGAGGAGGUGGAAGUCCUAGGAGGACAGAGGGGGAGCCCUGAGGUCAGGAAAAAAGGUGACGGGGCAGCCCACGGAGUGACACCAGCCAGUUCUGCCCCUUCUCACCUUGCAGAAAAACUACUCACCAAAGAACAGCAAGAAUCAGUUGUAGACUGACAUGCACACCCCAGUGCAGGUAAAACAAAUGGAAAACAAUUGGAAAAAUAAUAUAUUUAGAGUAUAUUUAUCAGAUGAUCUAUUUCAAGAGGAUGAUGAGAUUUAGGGCUAGACACAGCUGUUGAUUUUGACUGCCAGACAAGACUCUGACUAUUUCUGUCUCGUUCAGACAGCAUUGCCAAUCUCACCCGGCCUCCAUGUGCACAACUGGGUGCAGGUGACCAUAAGAGUCCACCUGCCUGCAGACCAGGAGGGCUUUGGGUAUGACCUGAGGCAGAGUGUGUCCCACUGAAGGUUUUUGUCAGGGCUCCAUCCCUGUGAUGUACAUUGGGCUGAGAAUGCCUGUUCCACACCAUGAGCUCAGUCUGACUGGGGAGGGCAGGGGGAAAUGUGAGUUAUCAGAGAUUAAGGGAUACAGCUGUAAACAAAAGGAGAAACACGUAUGUUUAAAAACUCAGAAGAUGUGGUUUUGCAGCUUUACUCCAUUUCCAGCCCUAUCCAUGAUUCCAAAUAAACAGCCAGCAGCAGCA